AUUGAACGCUGGCGGCAUGCCUUACACAUGCAAGUCGAACGGUAACGGGCCUUCGGGUGCCGACGAGUGGCGAACGGGUGAGUAAUGCAUCGGAACGUACCUUUCAGUGGGGGAUAACGUAGCGAAAGUUACGCUAAUACCGCAUAUUCUGUGAGCAGGAAAGCAGGGGAUCGCAAGACCUUGCGCUGAUUGAGCGGCCGAUGUCAGAUUAGCUAGUUGGUGAGGUAAAGGCUCACCAAGGCGACGAUCUGUAGCGGGUCUGAGAGGGUGAUCCGCCACGCUGGGACAGGGACACGGCCCAGACUCCUACGGGAGGCAGCAGUGGGGAAUUUUGGACAAUGGGGGCAACCCUGAUCCAGCCAUGCCGCGUGAGUGAAGAAGGCCUUCGGGUUGUAAAGCUCUUUCGGCCGGGAAGAAAUCGCACAGGCUAAUACCUUGUGUGGAUGACGGUACCGGAAUAAGAAGCACCGGCUAACUACGUGCCAGCCGCCGCUGUAACAC
rnacentral:rRNA from 1 species